rnacentral:rRNA from 1 species
UUAGAGUUUGAUCCUGGCUCAGAUUGAACGCUGGCGGCAUGCCUUACACAUGCAAGUCGAACGGCAGCACGGAGCUUGCUCUGGUGGCGAGUGGCGAACGGGUGAGUAAUAUAUCGGAACGUACCCUAGAGUGGGGGAUAACGUAGCGAAAGUUACGCUAAUACCGCAUACGAUCUAAGGAUGAAAGUGGGGGAUCGCAAGACCUCAUGCUCGUGGAGCGGCCGAUAUCUGAUUAGCUAGUUGGUAGGGUAAAAGCCUACCAAGGCAUCGAUCAGUAGCUGGUCUGAGAGGACGACCAGCCACACUGGAACUGAGACACGGUCCAGACUCCUACGGGAGGCAGCAGUGGGGAAUUUUGGACAAUGGGCGAAAGCCUGAUCCAGCAAUGCCGCGUGAGUGAAGAAGGCCUUCGGGUUGUAAAGCUCUUUUGUCAGGGAAGAAACGGUGAAAGCUAAUAUCUUUUGCUAAUGACGGUACCUGAAGAAUAAGCACCGGCUAACUACGUGCCAGCAGCCGCGGUAAUACGUAGGGUGCAAGCGUUAAUCGGAAUUACUGGGCGUAAAGCGUGCGCAGGCGGUUUUGUAAGUCUGAUGUGAAAUCCCCGGGCUCAACCUGGGAAUUGCAUUGGAGACUGCAAGGCUAGAAUCUGGCAGAGGGGGGUAGAAUUCCACGUGUAGCAGUGAAAUGCGUAGAUAUGUGGAGGAACACCGAUGGCGAAGGCAGCCCCCUGGGUCAAGAUUGACGCUCAUGCACGAAAGCGUGGGGAGCAAACAGGAUUAGAUACCCUGGUAGUCCACGCCCUAAACGAUGUCUACUAGUUGUCGGGUCUUAAUUGACUUGGUAACGCAGCUAACGCGUGAAGUAGACCGCCUGGGGAGUACGGUCGCAAGAUUAAAACUCAAAGGAAUUGACGGGGACCCGCACAAGCGGUGGAUGAUGCGGAUUAAUUGGAUGCAACGUGAAACACCUUUCCUACCCUUGACAUGGCUGGAAUCCCUGAGAGAUCAGGGAGUGCUCGAAAGAGACCCAGCACCCAGGUGCUGCAUGGCUGUCGUCAGUUCGUGUCGUGAGAUGUUGGGUUAAGUCCCGACAUUGAGCGCACCCCUUGUCAUUAGUUGAUCAGAAAGGGCACUAUAAUGCGAUUGUCGGCGACAAUCCGGAGGAAGGUGGUGAGGACGUCAAGUCAUCAUGCGCCCUUAUGGGUAGGCCUUCACACGUCAUACAAUGGUACAUACAGAGCGCCGCCAUCCCGUGAGGGGGAGCUAAUUGCAGCAAGUGUAUCGUAGUCCGGAUUGUAGUCUGCGAUUCCACUGCAUGUAGUUGGAAUCGGUAGUAAUCGCGGAUCAGCAUGUCGCGGCGAAUCCGUUCCCGGGUCUUGUGCUCCCCGCCCGUCACUCCACGGGAGCGGGUUUUCCCAGAAGUCGGU